rnacentral:piRNA from 2 species
GGGCUGGAGAGAUGGCUCAGCCGUUAA